rnacentral:rRNA from 1 species
GACGAACGCUGGCGGCGUGCUUAACACAUGCAAGUCGAGCGAGAAAGCUCCUUCGGGAGUGAGUACAGCGGCGAACGGGUGAGUAACACGUGGGUAAUCUGCCCUCAGGAGUGGGACAACCCGGGGAAACCCGGGCUAAUACCGCAUGAUGCGUCGGUCCGAUGGGACCGCCGCCAAAAGGUAGCUUCGGCCUCCGCCUGAGGAUGAGCCCGCGGCGGAUUAGCUUGUUAGUGGGGAACGGCUCACCAAGGCGACGAUCCGUAGCUGGUCUGAGAGGACGAUCAGCCACACUGGGACUGAGACACGGCCCAGACUCCUACGGGAGGCAGCAGUGGGGAAUCUUGCGCAAUGGGCGAAAGCCUGACGCAGCAACGCCGCGUGA